GAAUCGGGCCGCCGCCGCCAUGGAGCUGAGAGUCGGGAACAGGUACCGGCUGGGCCGGAAGAUCGGCAGCGGCUCCUUCGGAGACAUCUAUCUCGGCUGGAGUGCAGUGGCGCGAUCUCGGCUCACUGCAAGCUCCGCCUCCCAGAGAUGGGGUUUCACCGUGUUAGCCAGGAUGGUCUCAAUCUCCUGACCUUGUGAUCCGCCCGCCUUGGCCUCCCAAAGUGCUGGGAUUACAGGCGUGAGCCACCGCGCCCGGCCGAUUCCAGUGUCUUAUACUCUGAAGGGACUCGUGAGGGAAGAGGAGAGAGCUGGGUACGGACAUUGCUGCAGGAGAAGAGGUUGCCAUCAAGCUUGAAUGUGUCAAAACCAAACACCCUCAGCUCCACAUUGAGAGCAAAAUCUACAAGAUGAUGCAGGGAGGAGUGGGCAUCCCCACCAUCAGAUGGUGCGGGGCAGAGGGGGACUACAACGUCAUGGUGAUGGAGCUGCUGGGGCCAAGCCUGGAGGACCUCUUCAACUUCUGCUCCAGGAAAUUCAGCCUCAAAACCGUCCUGCUGCUUGCU
rnacentral:lncRNA from 1 species